rnacentral:lncRNA from 1 species
UGCGUGUUUAAAUCAGUUCAAUUCUCUUGUCAAGACAACAUUUUUGCUUUAUAAAUGCAAUGUGUUUCUUUUAAAAAUUAUUCUUUAUCCCAAAUUUUGAUUUACCAUAAGCUUACAAAAAUUAGGUACAAAGAAUAAUUGAGCUGAAACAAUGUUUAACCCCAUACCCAUUUUGCUACUUACGUGUACAAAUACAGUCGGAGAUUUAAUAAUUUUUGAUUACACAUUUGAUAACGUGGCAACCAUUUAACCUACCGUGGGUGGGUUUGGGGGAUGGUAUGGUUUCUUUUAGCAAUGCAUAUUCUAUUCAGGAACGAGCACAAAGUAAAACAAGAGUUUCGAAGAAACCUGUGUUGCUCACCUGAUAUUUUUAUAUUUUAUAUAUGAAAUAAUGCAGCCAUAACACUAUUGCUUUAGUUUCAAUAGAAUUUUGAAAAAGAUAACAAAAUAUUAUGAACAAUUGUUAAAAAGUUACUUUAAAGGUCAGUUUCUCCUUAUGGGGUCAAUUGUCCAUUUGGUUAUAUUGACCUAUUGGUAUAAUUUAAUUUAUAGAACAUUAUUUCUGUUGACAAUUAAUUUCUAUUUAAACUAGAAUUCAAG